GCGCGGGUGGUGGAAUGGUAGACACGCUACUUUGAGGGGGUAGUGGCUGCAAGGCCGUGGAGGUUCAAGUCCUCUCCCGCGCA
rnacentral:tRNA from 1 species